rfam:Schistosoma haematobium scaffold1089_2, whole genome shotgun sequence.
AGCUUUUCCAAUCCGUGCAGAGAUUUUGUCAGACACCAACCCAUUAGGGUUGAUCAGACUCCCAACAUAAGUGAAGUU